rnacentral:lncRNA from 1 species
AGGGACCAAAUUCCUCCAUGAUCUGCUUCAAUUACUGCCUCCAGGUUCCUGCCUUGAAUUCCAGUCCUGGCUUCCCUCAAAGAUGCACUGUAAGCUGAAAUGCCUGCCCCCAAGUUGUUUUGGUUAGUUUUAUCAUAGCAACCGAAAGCAAACUAGAACAACUUUCUCGAUCCCUCAGUCCUUCUCUCCCUUUCUUCUCACUUUCUUCCUUCUGCGUCAGUAUCAUCUUCUCCACUAAGAGUGUGCUUGUUUACAUGGAAGCUGAAUUUGAGCAAAGCAGCUUGGGAGAAAGUGUUCUAUCAGAGAGACUUAGGGGUUAGUGUUGCCAAUUUGACCCAAGCUAGAAUCCUCUGGAAAGAGGGGACCUCAAUUGAGAAAAUGCUUCCAGGAGAUACAGUUUUAAGGAAUUUUCUUAAUUAGUGAUUGCUAGGGAAGGGCUCAGCCCAUUGUGGAUGGUACCAUCACUGGGCUGGUGGUUCUGGAUUCUAUAAGAAAGAAGUGUACUAAGCCAGGAGGAGCAAGCCAGUAAGCAGCAUCCCUCCAUGGCCUCUGUAUCAACCCGCUGGAGUUCCUGUCCUGGCUUCCUUCAAUGACUGCCUGACCAUAGCUGAGCUGAUAUCUGAUCAUUAUAUUCUGCUCAGGAGAAGAGGGCAUCAGAUACUACAACCUGGCCAUCAGCCCCCCCCCCCAUGCCUGCUUUCUCUCCGUGGACCCCACUUUUCUGUCUCCUCCUCUGCACAGCAUCUCAAUGAAUUAGCCUGAGAGCUGUACCCAAUAAACCUGCCUUUAUAUACUUUA